rnacentral:rRNA from 1 species
AUUGAACGCUGGCGGCAUGCCUUACACAUGCAAGUCGAACGGCAGCACGGGAGCAAUCCUGGUGGCGAGUGGCGAACGGGUGAGUAAUAUAUCGGAACGUGCCCAGUCGUGGGGGAUAACGCAGCGAAAGCUGUGCUAAUACCGCAUACGAUCUACGGAUGAAAGCGGGGGAUCGCAAGACCUCGCGCGAUUGGAGCGGCCGAUAUCAGAUUAGCUAGUUGGUGGGGUAAAGGCACACCAAGGCGACGAUCUGUAGCUGGUCUGAGAGGACGACCAGCCACACUGGAACGGAGACACGGUCCAGAGUCCUACGUGAGGCAGCAGUGGGGAAUUUUGGACAAUGGGCGAAAGCCUGAUCCAGCAAUGCCGCGUGCAGGAUGAAGGCCUUCGGGUUGUAAACUGCUUUUGUACGGAACGAAACGGUGAGCUCUAAUACAGUUUGCUAAUGACGGUACCGUAAGAAUAAGCACCGGCUAACUACGUGCCAGCAGCCGCCGCCG